rnacentral:rRNA from 1 species
AUACGUAGGUGACAAGCGUUAUCCGGAUUUACUGGGCGUAAAGGGCGUGUAGGCGGUCUUGCAAGUCAGAAGUGAAAUUCCUGAGCUCAACUCGGGCGCUGCUUCUGAAACUGCAGGACUUGAGUGCUGGAGGGGAUAGCGGAAUUCCUAGUGGAGCGGUAAAAUGCGCAGAUAUUAGGAAGAACACCGGUGGCGAAGGCGGCUAUCUGGACAGUAACUGACGCUGAGGCGCGAAAGCGUGGGGAGCAAACAGGAUUAGAUACCCUGGUAGUCCACGCUGUAAACGAUGAUUACUAGGUGUGUGGAGAUUGACCCUCUACGUGCCGGAGUUAACACAAUAAGUAAUCCACCUGGGGAGUACGACCGCAAGGUUGAAACUCAAAUGAAUUGACGGGG